UCCGGUUUAACACCGGCAGUCUCCUCAGAGUGCCCAACUUAAUGGUGGCAACUAAGGACAAGGGUUGCGCUCGUUGCGGGACUUAACCCAACAUCUUACGACACGAGCUGACGACAGCCAUGCAGCACCUAUCUCACUGUCCCCGAAGGGAAAGCCGCAUCUCUGCGGAUGUCAGUGGAUGUUAAGCCCAGGUAAGGUUCUGCGCGUUGCUUCGAAUUAAACCACAUACUCCACCGCUUGUGCGGGCCCCCGUCAAUUCCUUUGAGUUUUAAUCUUGCGACCGUACUCCCCAGGCGGAUAACUUAAUGCGUUAGCUGCGCCACCCAAGCACCAAGUGCCCGGACAGCUAGUUAUCAUCGUUUACGGCGUGGACUAC
rnacentral:misc_RNA from 1 species